rnacentral:rRNA from 1 species
AGUGAACGCUGGCGGUAGGCCUAACACAUGCAAGUCGAACGGCAGCACAGUAAGAGCUUGCUCUUACGGGUGGCGAGUGGCGGACGGGUGAGGAAUACAUCGGAAUCUACUUUUUCGUGGGGGAUAACGUAGGGAAACUUACGCUAAUACCGCAUACGGCCUACGGGUGAAAGCAGGGGAUCUUCGGACCUUGCGCGAUUGAAUGAGCCGAUGUCGGAUUAGCUAGUUGGCGGGGUAAAGGCCCACCAAGGCGACGAUCCGUAGCUGGUCUGAGAGGAUGAUCAGCCACACUGGAACUGAGACACGGUCCAGACUCCUACGGGAGGCAGCAGUGGGGAAUAUUGGACAAUGGGCGCAAGCCUGAUCCAGCCAUACCGCGUGGGUGAAGAAGGCCUUCGGGUUGUAAAGCCCUUUUGUUGGGAAAGAAAAGCAGCAGGUUAAUACCCCGCUGUUCUGACGGUACCCAAAGAAUAGGCACCGGCUAACUUCGUG